rnacentral:rRNA from 1 species
CCUACGGGGGGCAGCAGUGGGGAAUAUUGCACAAUGGGGGAAACCCUGAUGCAGCGACGCCGCGUGAGUGAAGAAGUAAUUCGUUAUGUAAAGCCCUAUCAGCAGGGGAGAAAAUGACGGUACCUGAGUCAGAAGCCCAGGCUAACUACGUGCAAGCAGCCGCGGUAAUACGUCGGGGGCAAGCGUUAUCCGGAAUUACUGGGUGUAAAGGGAGAGUAGAGGGCUGGGCAAGUGUGGAGUGAAAGGCGGGGGCUCAAACCCCGGAUGGCUCUUGAAACUGUCCAGCUGGAGUGCAGGAGAGGUAAGUGGAAUUCCAAGUGUAGCGGUGAAAUGCGUAGAUAUUAGGAGGAACACCAGUUGCGAAGGCGGCGUACUGGACUGUAACUGACGUUGAGGCUCGAAAGCGUGGGGAGCAAACAGGAUUAGAUACCCCUGUAGUC